CCGGGGAUGGCAGAUCGGCUAUGCAAGGGACUGUAAAUCCCUCUAGAUAGGUUCAACUCCUAUUCCCCGGA
rnacentral:tRNA from 1 species